rnacentral:rRNA from 1 species
AUUAAACGCUGGCGGCAUGCCUUACACAUGCAAGUCGAACGGUAGCGCGGGGCAACCUGGCGACGAGUGGCGAACGGGUGAGUAAAGCAUCGGAACGUGCCCUGGAAUGGGGGAUAACGUAGCGAAAGUUACGCUAAUACCGCAUAUUCUGUGAGCAGGAAAGCAGGGGAUCGCAAGACCUUGCGUUCUGGGAGCGGCCGAUGUCGGAUUAGCUAGUUGGUGGGGUAAAAGCCUACCAAGGCGACGAUCCGUAGCGGGUCUGAGAGGAUGAUCCGCCACACUGGGACUGAGACACGGCCCAGACUCCUACGGGAGGCAGCAGUGGGGAAUUUUGGACAAUGGGCGAAAGCCUGAACCAGCAACGCCGCGUGAGGGAUGAAGGCCUUCGGGUCGUAAACCUACUUUCUGGGAGAAGAGACAAGGACGGUAGUCCCACGGAAUAAGUACUCGGCUAACUACGUAGCCAGCAGCCGCGGU